rnacentral:rRNA from 1 species
AUUGAACGCUGGCGGCAGGCAUAACACAUGCAAGUCGAACGAGUGGCGGACGGGUGAGUAAUGUCUGGGAAACUGCCCGAUGGAGGGGGAUAACUACUGGAAACGGUAGCUAAUACCACAUACCAUCGGAUGUGCCCAGAUGGGAUUAGCUAGUAGGUGGGGUAAUGGCUCACCUAGGCGACUAUCCCUAGCUGGACUGAGCGGAUGACCAGCCACACUGUAACUGAGACACGGUCCCGACUCCUACGCGAGGCAGCAGUGGGGAAUAGUGCACAAUGGGCGCAAGCCUGAUGCAGCCAUGCCGCGUGUAUGCAGAAGGCCUUCGGGUUGUAAAGUACUUUCAGCGAGGAGGCGUUACUCGCAGAAGAAGCACCGGCUAACUCCGUGCCAGCAGCCGCGGUAAUAC